rnacentral:rRNA from 1 species
AUUGAACGCUGGCGGCAUGCUUUACACAUGCCAGUCGAACGGUAACAGGCCUUCGGGUGCUGACGAGUGGCGAACGGGUGAGUAAUGCAUCGGAACGUACCCAGAAGUGGGGGAUAACGCAGCGAAAGCUGUGCUAAUACCGCAUGUGAUCUGAGGAUGAAAGCGGGGGACCGAGCAGCAAUGUUUGGCCUCGCGCCUUUGGAGCGGCCGAUGUCGGAUUAGCUAGUUGGUGGGGUAAAGGCCUACCAAGGCGACGAUCCGUAGCUGGUCUGAGAGGACGACCAGCCACACUGGGACUGAGACACGGCCCAGACUCCUACGGGAGGCAGCAGUGGGGAAUUUUGGACAAUGGGCGCAAGCCUGAUCCAGCAAUGCCGCGUGCGGGAAGAAGGCCUUCGGGUUGUAAACCGCUUUUGGCAGGAACGAAACGGUGUCCGCUAAUACCGGGCGCUAAUGACGGUACCUGCAGAAUAAGCACCGGCUAACUACGUG